rnacentral:rRNA from 1 species
UACGAGGGGGGCAAGCGUUGUUCGGAAUUAUUGGGCGUAAAGGGUGCGUAGGCGGUCUGAUAAGUCAUCUGUGAAAUCUAUGGGCUCAACCCAUAGUCUGCAGGCGAAACUGUCGGGCUUGAGUAUGGGAGAGGUGAGUGGAAUUUCCGGUGUAGCGGUGAAAUGCGUAGAUAUCGGAAGGAACACCUGUGGCGAAAGCGGCUCACUGGACCAUUACUGACGCUGAGACGCGAAAGCGUGGGGGAGCAAACAGG